rnacentral:rRNA from 1 species
UGGGGGAUAUUGCACAAUGGGCGAAAGCCUGAUGCAGCGACGCCGCGUGGGGGAUGAAGGCUUUCGGGUUGUAAACCUCUUUCGCUAUCGAACAAGGCCCGCUUAGGGUGGGUUGAGGGUAGGUGGAGAAGAAGCGCCGGCUAACUACGUGCCAGCAGCCGCGGUAAUACGUAGGGCGCGAGCGUUGUCCGGAAUUAUUGGGCGUAAAGGGCUUGAAGGCGGCUUGUUGCGCCUGCUGUGAAAACGCGGGGCUUAACUUCGCGCGUGCAGUGGGUACGGGCAGGCUUGAGUGUGGUAGGGGUGACUGGAAUUCCAGGUGUAGCGAUGGAAUGCGCAGAUAUCUGGAGGAACACCGAUGGCGAAGGCAGGUCACUGGGCCAUUACUGACGCUGAGGAGCGAAAGCAUGGGUAGCGAACAGG